rnacentral:rRNA from 1 species
AUUGAACGCUGGCGGCAGGCUUAACACAUGCAAGUCGAGCGGGGGAAGGUAGCUUGCUACUGGACCUAGCGGCGGACGGGUGAGUAAUGCUUAGGAAUCUGCCUAUUAGUGGGGGACAACAUCUCGAAAGGGAUGCUAAUACCGCAUACGUCCUACGGGAGAAAGCAGGGAUCUUCGGACCUUGCGCUAAUAGAUGAGCCUAAGUCGGAUUAGCUAGUUGGUGGGGUAAAGGCCUACCAAGGCGACGAUCUGUAGCGGGUCUGAGAGGAUGAUCCGCCACACUGGGACUGAGACACGGCCCAGACUCCUACGGGAGGCAGCAGUGGGGAAUAUUGGACAAUGGGGGGAACCCUGAUCCAGCCAUGCCGCGUGUGUGAAGAAGGCCUUAUGGUUGUAAAGCACUUUAAGCGAGGAGGAGGCUACUUUAGUUAAUACCUAGAGCUAUUUGACAGUACCAGAGGAAUAAGCACCGGCUAACUCCGUGCCAGCCGCCGCAGUAA